AUUGAACGCUGGCGGCAUGCCUAACACAUGCAAGUCGAACGGGGCGCUUCGGCGCCUAGUGGCGGACGGGUGAGUAAAGCGUAGGAAUCUGCCUUGCAGUGGGGGGACAACCUGGGGAAACGUACAGGCUAAUACCGCAUACGCUCGCGAGAGGAAAGCGGGGGAGUCUUCGGACCUCGCGCCGCAAGAAGAGCCUACGUCCGAUUAGCUAGUUGGUAGGGUAAAAGACCUACCAAGGCGACGAUCGGUAGCUGGUCUGAGAGGAUGAUCAGCCACACUGGGACUGAGACACGGCCCAGACUCCUACGGGAGGGCAGCAGUGGGGAAGUAUUGGACAAUGGGCGGCAAGACCU
rnacentral:rRNA from 1 species